CGGAGGAAGGUUCUGGUAGGUGUCUGGGUGGAUUUAGGUGUGUGUUAGUGUUUCUACAGGCGGUGUGAGAGAACCAACAGCAGCUUUAAGUGUUGGACUGAGGCUGGGACUCAGGGUGUCAUGGUGGGUGGAAGUUUCCUGACCCGCAUGAGAGAAUCACACACGGGAACACAGAACAAGGCUAUCCCAGCAUGCUUUGCGCGCCGGCUGUGGAUUUUCAACAGGCAGAGAAAAUGAGGAGAGCUACGAAGUUUUAAACGACUGCAGGUGUCCAGGGUCAGGAGAGGCUUUACCUGGUGGUCCUCCUGGGAGAGAGGCCUUCUACUGUCAUCAUGUUAAUGUUAUUUAGCUGUUUGAUAUUUGAACACAUUUAUUAAAACAAAUACUAACCGAUAA